rnacentral:lncRNA from 1 species
CAGCAGGCCUGGGCCCCACCGCCGUGACCACACUUGGCCCUCUUGCCAAGACCAGAAUUUGGGCCCCAGACACUAGGCAUCACACAAUGAGCAAUCUGAAGCAUCCAGGCCUCCUGGGAAGUCCCCAGGAGGCAGAACAGAGGGUCUCUCUUCUGAACAAGCCAGGGGUGAGGCUGGGCUGUCACGACGUGGGGUUCUUGCUGACAGCCAUGGACAGGAAGCCAUGGCUCUUAAGAAGCCACCUACACACGGGCCGAGGGGGGUGGUGGGGGGGUGGCUUCAGCCCAGGGCCAGCUCUCUGGUCAUUCUCAACCUUGCUGUUCACCAGAAUCCCUGUGGGAGCUGUGGCCCCACCCUGGAGAUGCUCGAGAAAUUGGCCUGCAUCCCCAGGUUUUUAAAGCACCCAGUCUAAUGUACAAGGUUGAGAAAUGACAGGCUUUGAAAUGGUCCCUCACGAUCCCGUGGGGCCAGUGGUGAUGUCAGGAGGGAGGCCGGUGGGCAGGGGCUCCAGCAAAAAGUGUGGGUCCUUAGGAUCAGGGGUCGCCGUUGGGGAGGGUGGGGUGGGGAACUGGCAGGAACAGAGAUUCCCUGACUUCAGAAGCAGGGAACCGCUCCCCCUGUGUUAUCUGGAGUGGACAGUGGAUCCCCGAAGCCCCCAAGCUCUUUCCUGCCUGUUGGCGCAUUCAGCCCCGGAUGCCCCACUCAGGGUUGCUGAGGGCAGCUGGGCUGGCUGCUUUCUCUUGGAGGGGCAUGUGGGCAUCCACAGCUGCUUCCCCACCUAGAGCUGACUCGUCGUAUUAUCACCCAAGUAAGAAGUGAAUGUAUUCUCCUUGGAAACAGCUCAAACAAUACCCCAGAAGAUUUCACCUUCUGGAGUCAGAGAGACUGGAAUCACCCUCCCCUACUAAACAAAAAAAUCAACAGAUAAAAUAUGUGACCCAGUGGUGUCCAGCUGUCGGACAAUGGGAGCACAGAGGUUCCUGAGAAAAGGAAACGCAAGCCAAUGAGGUAAGGCCUGUGGUUGCAGAGUGUACUGCCUGGAUAGUCUCCAGGCUGCUGGGCAGGGCCGGGAAGCCAUGCAGCCCCACGAGCUCCCUUACUUGAGGAGACAGACUGGAAAACUUGGAGGGGCAGAGGCUAGGGGGAAUUUUCAGAUCAGAACCCUAGAAAGGAGACAGCUGCACUGAGAAUGGAAAC